AAAAUCAAUUUUUACUUAAUUUACACAUGCAAGUCUCCGCACCCCUGUGAGAACGCCCUCAAACCCCUAAAAGGGACGAGGAGCUGGUAUCAGGCACAAACAUUAGCCCAAGACACCUAGCCUUGCCACACCCACAAGGGAAAUCAGCAGUGAUUAACAUUGAAUAUAAGCGACAGCUUGAUUCAGUUAAAGUAAGAAGAGCCGGCUAAUCUGGUGCCAGCCGCCGCGGUUACACCACGUGGCUCAAUUGAUUCUGAUCGGCGUAAAGCGUGAUUUAAGAGAUUCUUCCUUUGGUGUCAAAAAGAUACUAAGCCGUGACACGCUUGUAUUCAAGAAGAUCAGAAACGAAAGUUACACCAACUUAAUCAACUUGA
rnacentral:rRNA from 1 species